rfam:Oryza punctata chromosome 10, whole genome shotgun sequence.
GGGCCUGUGAUGAAAUCUGGAACAAAAAAAUACCAUCUUUCGGGACUGAUUUGGCUUUCAUCAGCCAUGUUGUCACCUCCAAGAUCCUGAGGUCU